rnacentral:piRNA from 1 species
UGGGGGCCAUUCUGACUUCUGCGGAGU